ACGGAGGGGGCAAGCGUUGUUCGGAAUUAUUGGGCGUAAAGGGCGCGUAGGCGGCCAUGCAAGUCGGUUGUGAAAUCCCUUGGCUCAACCAAGGAACUGCGUCCGAAACUGCAUGGCUCGAGUCCGGGAGAGGGUAGUGGAAUUCCCAGUGUAGCGGUGAAAUGCGUAGAUAUUGGGAGGAACACCGGUGGCGAAGGCGGCUACCUGGACCGGAACUGACGCUGAGGCGCGAAAGCUAGGGGAGCAAACAGGA
rnacentral:rRNA from 1 species